CACAACGAAUUAAGCAAAACAUAUAUUUGUUUAUUCACUUGCGCCGCUACACGAGCUAUACACUUGGAGAUAGUCACAGAUUUAACCGAGGAGUCUUUCAUGCUUGCUUUUAAAAGAUUUGUCGCUAGGAGAUCUACACCAAGGAUUAUGUUGUCCGAUAAUGCAACAACCUUCAAGGCAGCCGCCGAAAAGAUUACAAGAUCAAGCCAAGACAACCGAAUACAAGAAAAACUUGCCGAUCAAGGAACUGAGUGGAAAUUCAUACCCAACCGUGCACCGUGGUUUGGAGGCUAUUGGGAACGCCUAAUUGGACUCACGAAAAAGUCAAUUAAAGCAAUACUAGGAAAGUCAUGUGUCACUACGGAAAUGUUGAAUACAAUUAUAAUCGAAAUCGAGGGAACUCUAAACAAUCGUCCUAUAACUCACAUUUCUACUGAUAUUAAAGAUCCCGAACCGCUGACGCCAGCGCACCUUUUAUAUGGUCGUCGACUUGACAACCAAUCGGAACAGAAUAUUGACAGUGUUACUUCCGAAGAUUUGCACGUGAAACUGAAUAAAAAUUUACAGAGAAAUAAUGAACUAAUCAACCAUUUUCGCUCAAGAUGGAAACACGAAUAUCUGACGUCACUCCGUGAAUUCCACCGUACAUCUGGAAGAAACGAACAAACAAUACAAAUAGGUGACAUUGUACAAGUACACAAUGACACAAAUCGUAUAAUGUGGAAAUUAGCAGUUGUACAAGAUUUAGUUCGUGGAAAGGAUGGACUCAUUCGAUCAGCUGUUAUCAAGACCGACACAGGAAUCACCAACCGUCCGAUUGUGAAGCUCUAUCCGUUGGAAAUACGCAGUACAAAUGAUGACAGUGAAUGAACUUUUCUGCCCUGGAG
rnacentral:lncRNA from 1 species